CCGACCUUAGCUCAGUUGGCAGAGCGGAGGACUGUAGUGGGUGAUCCUGAUGGCUAUCCUUAGGUCGCUGGUUCGAAUCCGGCAGGUCGGA
rfam:Citrus clementina cultivar Clemenules unplaced genomic scaffold scaffold_8, whole genome shotgun sequence.